GUGCAGCAGGCGAGAAUCCUGCACAAUGUGGGAAACCACGAUGCGGGAACUCCAAGUGCCUACACUAUGUGUAGGCUGUUCUCGAGCCUAAAAAGCUCGAGAAGUAAGGGCCGGGUAAGACGGGUGCCAGCCGCCGCGGUAAUACCCGCGGCCCGAGUGGUGCUCAUUAUUAUUGAGCCUAAAGCGUCCGUAGCUGGCCGGGCAAAUCUCCGGGGAAAUCGGGCCGCUCAACGGUCCGAAGGCCGGAGACACUGCUCGGCUUGGGAUCGGGAGAGGGUGAAGGUACUCCCUGGGUAGGGGUAAAAUCCUGUAAUCCGGGGGGGACCACCAGUGGCGAAGGCGUUCACCUAGAACGAAUCCGACAGUGAGGGACGAAGCCCUAGGGCGCAAACGGGAUUAGAUACCCCCGUAGUCC
rnacentral:rRNA from 1 species